rnacentral:rRNA from 1 species
CGAGGGGGGCUAGUGUUGUUCGGAAUCACUGGGCGUAAAGGGAGCGUAGGCGGGAGCCUAAGUUGGGUGUUUAAUUCCGGGGCCCAACCCCGGGCAUGCACUCAAAACUGGGCUUCUUGAAUAGGGGAGAGGUCGAUGGAAUUGGAGGUGUAGCGGUGGAAUGCGUAGAGAUCUCCAAGAACACCGGUUGCGAAGGCGGUCGACUGGACCCAUAUUGACGCUGAGGCUCGAAAGCGUGGGGAGCAAACAGGAUUAGAUACCCUGGUAGUCCACGCCAUAAACGAUGAAGACUAGGUUUUAGGCCCGUCAACGGUCUAGAGCCGUAGCUAACGCGUUAAGUCUUCCGCCUGGGGAGUACGCCCGCAAGGGUG